rnacentral:lncRNA from 1 species
GAAAAGUGACAUUUUUCGACAUAUUUGGUAGAUUUUUCAUAUUUGAGCUUGAAUCGGAUCGUUUUUAGUGACUAAAUCAGUGAAAAUCUUUCACAUAACCUAAUUGAUUCAAAUGAAAUAGACACUUAAGUGUUUAAAAAGUGGUCAAAAUCUUUCGUCAGAUGAACCUGAAAUUUGAGGCCAAAAUCGGUCCUUACCGGAC